UCGGGGGCGAAGUCCGGCUCCCGUAGGAGUCCGGACGGAGCGGGAGUCCGGACGGAGCCUGCCUGCAGUUGAAGUCGGAGACGAAGUCUGGCUCCCGUAGGAGUCCGGACGGAGUCUUCCUGCAGUUGAAGUCGGGGAUGAAGUCCGGCUCCCGUAGGAGUCCAGACUGAGUCUUCCUGUAGUUGAAGUCGAGGAUGAAGUCCAGCUCCUGUAGGAGUCUGGACGG
rnacentral:lncRNA from 1 species